rnacentral:rRNA from 1 species
CUGUGCAAAGGUAGCAUAAUCAUUAGUUUUUUAAUUGAAAGCUGGAAUGAAGGGUUUAAUGAGAAAAAUACUGUCUCAAUUUUAGUAAUUAAAAUUUUAUUUUUAAGUAAAAAAGCUUAAAUUUUUUAAUAAGACGAGAAGACCCUAUAGAGUUUGACAUUUAAGUAGUUUAUUUUUAUUAGGUUUUAAAAAUGGAAUUAAUUUUUAAAUGUUUUAUUGGGGUGAUAUGAAAAUAUAACAAACUUUUUAUUUAUUAUAUCAUAAAUUUAUGAAUAUUUGAUCCUAAGAUUUGGAUUUUAAGAUAAAAUUACCUUAGGGAUAACAGCGUAAUUUUUUUUGAGAGUUCUAAUCGAAAAAAAAGUUUGCGACCUCGAUGUUGGAUUAAAGUUAAAUUUUGGCGUAGAAGUUAAAAAUUUAGGUCUGUUCGACCUUUAAAGCU